UGGUAACGCGAGAAUGUCGUGAUUCGAUAACGGUUAGGCGGCUGGUAUGCCAGCUUGCUGAAGCUUAAACGACACGACGGUAAAAAUUCUUGAAACGGCGAGAAUUGCGAAAUAUCGGACGCGUUACGAGGGGCUGCGGAAAAUUCUAGAGUUGCGUCUCGAGAUCACGGACGAAGGAUGGAGGCAGCAGCCGUAGCUUGUUUCUUAUAUACGUAUAUAUCUUUAUUUCCGUAUUAUAUAUGCAUUUUCGUGUGUUUUCACAUGUGUGUGUGUGUGUGUUUAUAGUGUGUGUAGUUUUUUCUUUUUUUUUUUGCAGUUUGUGUAUUUACAUACGUGUACAUGUAUGUUUUUGUGCGUGCGUGCGUUUACGUGAAUAGUAUAGAUGU